rnacentral:lncRNA from 1 species
UGAGAUGCCCAGAGAGGCAGCGAGGGAAAAAGAGGCGGGGGCUGAAUCAGACCUGNGAGGACUCCGUUGGUCCCAUUCUGACUCUAAUCUGCUGCUCCAGAGAGAAUGGUGGAGGGAUCUGAGGAAGAAGCCAAGAGGAUAAAGANUGGAGAAUUCACCAGAAAUGUUUAGAAAUCAAUAGAUAAAAAGUCAAGGAAACAAAGAAAAAAAAUUUGAAUAGUUCCCUUCUUUCUGAGGAUAUUAAUUACUGUAAAUCUCUGAAA